GGUGGCUCAGUGGUACAGCACUUGCCUUGCAUGCAUGAGGCCCUGGGUUCAUUCCUCAGCACCA
rnacentral:tRNA from 1 species